GAUGAACGCUAGCGGCAGGCCUAAUACAUGCAAGUCGGACGGUAUUUGGGAGCUUGCUCCUAAUGAGAGUGGCGCACGGGUGCGUAACACGUAUGUAACCUACCUUAAUCAGGGGGAUAGCCUCUCGAAAGAGAGAUUAACACCGCAUAACAUAUUUUUAUGGCAUCGUAGAAAUAUCAAAUAUUUAUAGGAUUAAGAUGGGCAUGCGGAACAUUAGCUAGUUGGUAAGGUAACGGCUUACCAAGGCUACGAUGUUUAGGGGAUCUGAGAGGAUGACCCCCCACACGGGUACUGAGACACGGACCAGACUCCUACGGGAGGCAGCAGUAAGGAAUAUUGGUCAAUGGGCGCAAGCCUGAACCAGCCAUGCCGCGUGCAGGAAGACGGCCCUAUGGGUUGUAAACUGCUUUUGUACCGGAAUAAACCCUUUUACGUGUAGAAGGCUGAAUGUACGGUAAGAAUAAGGAUCGGCUAACACCGUGCCAGCCGCCGCGGUAAAAC
rnacentral:rRNA from 1 species